rnacentral:rRNA from 1 species
UACGUAGGUGGCAAGCGUUAUCCGGAAUUAUUGGGCGUAAAGAGCGCGCAGGUGGUUGAUUAAGUCUGAUGUGAAAGCCCACGGCUUAACCGUGGAGGGUCAUUGGAAACUGGUCGACUUUAGUGCAGAAGAGGGAAGUGGAAUUCCAUGUGUAGCGGUGAAAUGCGUAGAGAUAUGGAGGAACACCAGUGGCGAAGGCGGCUUCCUGGUCUGUAACUGACACUGAGGCGCGAAAGCGUGGGGAGCAAACAGGAUUAGAUACCCGGGUA